rnacentral:rRNA from 1 species
AUUGAACGCUGGCGGCAGGCCUAACACAUGCAAGUCGAACGGUAGCACAGAGAGCUUGCUCUCGGGUGACGAGUGGCGGACGGGUGAGUAAUGUCUGGGAAACUGCCCGAUGGAGGGGGAUAACUACUGGAAACGGUAGCUAAUACCGCAUAACGUCGCAAGACCAAAGUGGGGGACCUUCGGGCCUCACACCAUCGGAUGUGCCCAGAUGGGAUUAGCUAGUAGGUGGGGUAAUGGCUCACCUAGGCGACGAUCCCUAGCUGGUCUGAGAGGAUGACCAGCCACACUGGGACUGAGACACGGUCCAGACUCCUACGGGAGGCAGCAGUGGGGAAUAUUGCACAAUGGGCGCAAGCCUGAUGCAGCCAUGCCGCGUGUAUGAAGAGGGCCUUCGGGUUGUAAAGUACUUUCAGCGGGGAGGAAGGCGGUGAAGUUAACAGCUUCACCGAUUGGCGUUACCCGCAGAAGAAGCACCGGCUAACUCCGUGCCAGCCGCCGCAGUAA